rnacentral:rRNA from 1 species
ACGGCCAUACCACGUUGAUGAAAACACCGGUUCUCGUCCGAUCACCGAAGUUAAGCAACGUCGGGCUCGGUCAGUACUUGGGAGGGUGACCACCUGGGAACACCGGGUGCUGUAGGCU